rnacentral:rRNA from 1 species
CCUACGGGUGGCAGCAGUGAGGAAUAUUGGUCAAUGGGCGGGAGCCUGAACCAGCCAAGUCGCGUGAGGGAAGACGGUCCUAUGGAGUGUAAACCUCUUUAGGCGGGGAGCAAUGCCGGGCACGCGUGCCCGGAGGGAGAGUACCCGCAGAAUCAGCAUCGACUCACUCCGUGCCAGCAGCCGCGGUAAUACGGGGGAUGCGAGCGUUAUCCGGAUGUAUUGGGUUUAAAGGGUGCGUAGACGGAUUUUUAAGUCCGCGGUAAAAUGUCCGUGCUCAAGCCGGGCCUGCCGUUGAAACUGGGGAUCUUGAGUGGGCGAGAAGUAUGAGGAAUGCGUGGGGUAGCGGUGAAAUGCAUAGAUAGCACGCAGAACUCCGAUUGCGAAGGCAGCAUAUCGGCGCCCGACUGACGCUGAGGCACGAAAGCGUGGGGAUCGAACAGGAUUAGAUACCCCUGUAGUC